CUUAUACAUGCAAGUCGAGCGAUGAGACACCUCUCGGGUGUGAAUUAGCGGCGAACGGGUGAGGAACACGUGAGAAAUCUGCCCUCAACACUGGGAUAACUCCGGGAAACCGGGGCUAAUACCGGAUAUGAAAUCUGCGGCCAUCCGCGGAUUUGGAAAGUUUUUCGGUUGAAGAUGAUCUCGCGGCCUAUCAGCUUGUUGGUGAGGUAAUGGCUCACCAAGGCGACGACGGGUAGCCGGCCUGAGAGGGCGACCGGCCACACUGGGACUGAGACACGGCCCAGACUCCUACGGGAGGCAGCAGUGGGGAAUAUUGGGCAAUGGAGGAAACUCUGACCCAGCGACGCCGCGUGCGGGAUGAAGGCCUUCGGGUUGUAAACCGCUUUCAGCAGGGAAGAAGCGAAAGUGACGGUACCUGCAGAAGAAGCACCGGCUAACUAUGUGCCAGCAGCCGCGGUAAUACAUAGGGUGCAAGCGUUGUCCGGAAUUAUUGGGCGUAAAGAGCUCGUAGGUGGUUCGUCACGUCGGAUGUGAAACUCUGGGGCUUAACCCCAGACCUGCAUUCGAUACGGGCGAGCUUGAGUAUGGUAGGGGAGUCUGGAAUUCCUGGUGUAGCGGUGGAAUGCGCAGAUAUCAGGAGGAACACCAAUGGCGAAGGCAGGACUCUGGGCCAUUACUGACACUGAGGAGCGAAAGCGUGGGGAGCGAACAGGAUUAGAUACCCUGGUAGUCCACGCCGUAAACGGUGGGCACUAGUUGUGGGGACCUUCCACGGUCUCUGCGACGCAGCUAACGCAUUAAGUGCCCCGCCUGGGGAGUACGAUCGCAAGAUUAAAACUCAAAGGAAUUGACGGGGCCCCGCACAAGCAGCGGAGCAUGCGGCUUAAUUCGACGCAACGCGAAGAACCCUUGCAAGGCUUGACAUAUACAGGAAUAUGGCAGAGAUGUCAU
rnacentral:rRNA from 1 species